GCGAAUGUGGUGCAGCGGCAAGCAUCCCCGGCUUCCAACCAGGAGACACGAGUACCCUUCAGGAAGCAAGCUACGAGUCUCGUCCUUCACUCCA
rnacentral:tRNA from 1 species